UACGGAGGGUGCAAGCGUUGUUCGGAAUUACUGGGCGUAAAGUGCGUCUAGGCGGGUAAUCAAGUCAGGUGUGAAAGGCUUUGGCUCAACCAAAGAAUUGCGCCUGAAACUGGUUGUCUUGAGUUGUGGAGAGGUGAGCGGAAUUCCUGGUGUAGCAGUGAAAUGCGUAGAUAUCAGGAGGAACAUCUGUGGCGAAGGCGGCUCACUGGCCAUGUACUGACGCUGAAGCGCGAGAGCGUGGGUAGCAAACAGG
rnacentral:rRNA from 1 species